GGGGCGAUCGACGGCACGGGUUGCCCGGGUAACGCCGGGCCUAAGAGGGAAGGAGGUGCAAGACCUCCGCUGCCCCCGCAACUGUGACCGGCUAGUACUGGCCCAACAUGCCACUGCAUUCGUGCGGGAAGGCGGGUCAGCGCAGCGAGCCGGGAGCCAGGAGACCUGCCUGCGCCAGUCGUUCACG
rnacentral:ncRNA from 2 species